CCUGCUGCAGUGUAUAACCUGAGCCCUUUCCCAAUUUCUAGUUUGUGCAUCCUCGAUUCCUCUCCUCGUGUCUUAGUCCGGUCCACAGGAGAUCCGAGCCGAGGAGUCAAGGAUGAGCCUCGAGGAUCGAGGAGGUACAAAUUUGGGAAAUGGGAAAUGCCCUGGUCUCACUCUCCGCUCCUCGCCAGUUUGUUGUUGAAACCUCAGUGGUAGUCUCACAUUGCCAGACCUUCCAUGCCAGACUGAGCAAUCCCGGAAGUGGAAUGUCGUGGACGUAGACUACCUCAGUGCCGUGCAACACUUGUCUGCUCAUCUGCCACUCUCAGCCUCGUCUUUGUUCACCACAGUCCUCACUCGGAUGCCCCCUUCACUAACCCUGGACAGCGGCUCCCUGCCUCCACACCCUGUUCACCAGUUUUUCACCUUUUUGCAUAUUUUACUUGUUUUUUUGUGAAUAAAUUGUUGCUUGUUGAACUCC